rnacentral:tRNA from 1 species
ACACGAAUGGUCUAAUUGGCAGGAUAGCAGUCUCCAAAACUGUUGGUCUAGGUUCAAGUCCUAGUUCGUGUG